GCCUCGGUGGUGUAGUGGUAGCAGGCGCCUCCGAUAUGAGUGAAACGCUGUUUCAAGUCCCGCCCGAGGUCA